rnacentral:lncRNA from 1 species
UUUUUUUUUUCAGCUGUCUUCAUCAAAGGCAAGUUGGUUUUACAUUUUUAAGCAUUUGCUCUGAAUAAUGGAAGUAACAGCUUUAAACCCUCACUGAGAAGAAGGGCAUUUCAAAUGGCUUCUGAGACUCUGGAUCUGAUAACCAGUAUCUAAGAAUCUGGGUUUAGUUGACGAGGUCUGCAGUUCACCAAGUCCAUGAUGGGAGAAGGCAGUCAACUUUGCAGGAGCUUUUGCCCUCGGGAUUCAAAAGGACAAGGUGCAAGGAUGGUGAGACCCAGGUCAAAGUGAAAAGGCCUGCAGUUCUUCCUGAAGAGGAACUGGCGGGGAAGGCCUACCUGGGGGCAUAGUCAAUCCCUCCACUUGCUAACUUUCAAAAAUGAAGCCCCUUUCACAGAGAGAUGUCCUCUCUGCUGCAUCUUUCAAGAGAGACAUGUGCAGGUGAAAUACCAAGUGCUUUCUUUUGAUUCUCCAUCUCAUCUUAGUGACAGGGGGCAACAAUGCACUGUCUUGAGAGAAGAAGGUUCCUAUUUUAACUCAGAACAUGCUGGGGGAGGUCUACAAAGAAAGGCUUAGUACGCCUGAGCGCUUGAUUUGCAAGAUCCUUCUGAGGCUUCAAAGGAAGCAUUUCUUAAGUGUACCUCACUUUUCUGAACUUCUUCAAGGAUCCCGUUUUGCUUCGAAACCAAAUACAGUACAUCUUUACUGCUUUCUUAAGGGGAUGUUUUGGCAGGUGGUGUUUUUUAUAAAGUCAAACCACAGAAGGUAUUCCCUCCCCAUUAUUGCUUCUGGUAAUUCUCCUCACGUGUCAGCUAAAAAUAACACACGAUUUCCACAUCCAGAAUUUGGGGCUCUGACAGAUAGCCCAGAGCCGUCACAGUGUUAGUAGAACUGAAAUGCGAUUACCCUAUUUCGCAGAGACAUGUUAAGGAAAAGCAAAGAGACGUGAUUUGAGCCACGUGGCUGCCACAGAAACCAGACCUUUUCAACAGACAGCUCCCCACUCUGGUCUCUUUUGUUUCUCCAGUAGACUGGGCUCAGUUCUGAUUUGACUGGUGAGUUCCUGUCUGUACGUGCUCCUGUAUGCUCACCAGGGAGGAGGGAAGGUUGCUGUGACGAUUUUCUGGCUUUUAUUUAUCAUUUAUUGAACGCACACUAAACUGUGAUGACAGCCCUGGUUUAAGUGGAGCUCCAUAGUCACAAGUGAAUACAGUGGAGCUUAAUGAUCGCUCAAAAGCACGAGGUCUGGAAUCAGACCUCCUGGACCUAAACCUCAUCUCUGGAGAAAGGAAAAAAAAAAAACAACAACAACAACUGGGUAGGUUAUUUGCCUUGUUUAGAUUCUUGAAGAGGAUGUAAAUGCUACCUAUUCCAUUAGGAGAAGGUUAUUAAAUAUUCUAAGCGAAGUGCUUAGAAAAAUACUCAGGUCAUACCAAGGGUUAGAUGAGGGUGGCAAAUAUUAUUAUCAUUUUAAGAUUUACAUAUUUAAAACAGCACCUCGUUGGAACUGAGACAGCUUGCAAAUAUGUAACAUUAAAAAAAAAUUAAAAGGUGAGAGCCCCUCAAAAUGAUGGUAGAAAAAAAGAUGAAAUCAGCAGCAAAGCCAAUGGUCAAAAUGAAAACCCUACACUGAUUCUAUUACACUAAGAGUGACACAGAAUAACUGCUGACCCACAGACUCCAUAUGCCCAGAUUCUCUGCAUUGCUUAUGUGGGUGCUGCUUCCAGCCUCUUAUAGAAGGGUGAGGAAAGUUCAUUCCUUCCACUUGCUAAAAAGUUUAUGUAAUGUGUAUUUCUGGCAGGGCAGCAUGUGUGGGCGGCUAUGCAGGCACAUGCAUAUCUUUGCCACUCUGAGCCACACGGAUAGAAGUGGCAGUCAAGAGUUUGGAGAAGACAGGGUGUCCAUCAAAAGUACAUGAAGCAGACUGCUUUCUGUCCAUCUGUUACUUGCAAAACUGAGAAGCUGUGCUCAAUCCUGUGGAUCACACUUUUAAACGAGAAAUGAGCAAAACUGGAAUACGCUUGGAGGUGAGAGACAAGGGUGGGGGAAGAACCUCAUGAAAUGCUUAUGAAAAUGUACAACAGUUAAAAGAAAUGUGGGUGCUGGGGCUGGUUGGGGGGGUGGGGAGUACAGAGAGCUGCACUUGGCAGUUGUCUUCAAACCAAGUAAAUGCACAUACGAGGGACGGGGGAUGGAGUCACUCUGUAAAACCCUGAAAUAGAAAGAAGAGCGAUGAAAAGGAGAUGGAAGAGAUCUGUGUGGUACUCCCCAGUCAGGAAGUUCCAAAGAUGAGGUGGGCUCUGGGCUCCAUGUUACUCAUUCAGUCAAGCCAUCCAUGUCACGUCCCGGUGAUGUGCCUAUCAUCAUGGCACUAGAAAGGACGUGAUCUUCUCAUGGUGAGAAGAUCACACACUACAUCAACUCAAUGGAAAGAAAAUGAGUAAGAGGUUCCCUAAGUUUUCUCCGGGCAAAUGGUAGCUCAGGCUCAUGACAACAUCUCCCAGCUUCCCAUGCAACUAGGUUUGCCCAUGUGAGUAAAUUCUGACCAACAGGACCAGAGAGGGAACAGAAUGUAUAGCUCAAAGUACUUGCUCUUAAAGGGAAUGGGACAGACCUUUCACUUUCCUACAAACCUUCCAGCUGGAUGGAGGGUAGAGAUGGAAGAAGUUGGGGCAUCCACUUGAGAUCAUCAGACACUAAUGGACAGCAGAGUAAGGAGACAGAAGAAGCCUGGGUCUUUGACACUGGCACCACAUCAACACUAAACGAAAUGAGUGCAGAUUAUUACAUGAGGAUGAAGUCUGCUAUAUUGCUUAAGUCACUGUUACUUGGGCUACAUAUAAACAAGAUUCCAAAUACAUAUCUAUGGAUGAUUUUGUGAAUGGCAAAUCACUAUAGAAAAUCCAAGAUUCUGGCCCGCCGUCAGGAUGGCCGAGCGGUCUAAGGCGCUGCGUUCAGAAAAUCCAAGAUUCAAAGGAAAUGCAGGAACAUAAUCCACUUUGUAAAUCACUCUCCAGGGGUACAGAAUAUGCAAUGUCGGAGUUCCCGUUGUGGUGCAGUGGAAACAAAUUCAACUACUAUCCAUGAGGGUGCAGGUUUGAUCCCUGGCCUCGCUCAGUGGGUCAAGGGUCUAGCACUGCCGUGAGCUCUAGUGUAGUUCACAGACCCGGCUCAGAUCCUGCAUUGCUGUGGCUGUGGGGUAGGCUGGGAAUUUCCAUAUGCCAUGGGUGCAGCCCU